rnacentral:rRNA from 1 species
CACGGGGUGCUUGCACCUUGGUGGCGAGUGGCGAACGGGCGAUUAAUACAUCGGAACAUGUCCUGUAGUGGGGGAUAGCCCGGCGAAAGACGGAUUAAUACCGCAUACGAUCUACGGAUGAAAGCGGGGGACCUUCGGGCCUCGCGCUAUAGGGUUGGCCGAUGGCUGAUUAGCUAGUUGGUGGGGUAAAGGCCUACCAAGGCGACGAUCAGUAGCUGGUCUGAGAGGACGACCAGCCACACUGGGACUGAGACACGGCCCAGACUCCUACGGGAGGCAGCAGUGGGGAAUUUUGGACAAUGGGCGAAAGCCUGAUCCAGCAAUGCCGCGUGUGUGAAGAAGGCCUUCGGGUUGUAAAGCACUUUUGUCCGGAAAGAAAUCCUUGGCCCUAAUACGGUCGGGGGAUGACGGUACCGGAAGAAUAAGCACCGGCUAACUACGUGCCAGCAGCCGCGGUAAUACGUAGGGUGCGAGCGUUAAUCGGAAUUACUGGGCGUAAAGCGUGCGCAGGGCGGUUUGCUAAGACCGAUGUGAAAUCCCCGGGCUCAACCUGGGAACUGCAUUGGUGACUGGCAGGCUAGAGUAUGGCAGAGGGGGGGUAGAAUUCCACGUUGUAGCAGUGAAAUGGCGUAGAGAAUGUGGGAGGGAAUACCGAUGGC